rnacentral:sRNA from 1 species
AUUCUGCCCAUGCGGGGAAGGAUGAGAAGCUUCAACCAAGGUUCGACUUGAGCGCCAGCGAGAGAGCGUUGCCGCAGGCAACGACCCGAAGGG